rnacentral:rRNA from 1 species
CAGUCGCCGCGGGAAUACGUAGGGUGCAAGCGUUAAUCGGAAUUACUGGGCGUAAAGCGUGCGCAGGCGGUUUUGUAAGACAGAGGUGAAAUCCCCAGGCUCAACCUGGGAACUGCGCUUGUGACUGCACAGCUAGAGUAUGGCAGAGGGGGGUGGAAUUCCACGUGUAGCAGUGAAAUGCGUAGAGAUGUGGAGGAACACCGAUGGCGAAGGCAGCCCCCUGGGCCAAUACUGACGCUCAUGCACGGAAGCGUGGGGAGCAAACAGGAUUAGAUACCCCUGUAGUCCCUGUCUCUUAUAC